GUCAGGACGAACGCUGGCGGCGUGCUUAACACAUGCAAGUCGAACGAUGAAGCCCUUCGGGGUGGAUUAGUGGCGAACGGGUGAGUAACACGUGGGCAAUCUGCCCUUCACUCUGGGACAAGCCCUGGAAACGGGGUCUAAUACCGGAUACCACCCUCUUCCGCAUGGGAGGGGGUUGAAAGCUCCGGCGGUGAAGGAUGAGCCCGCGGCCUAUCAGCUUGUUGGUGGGGUAAUGGCCUACCAAGGCGACGACGGGUAGCCGGCCUGAGAGGGCGACCGGCCACACUGGGACUGAGACACGGCCCAGACUCCUACGGGAGGCAGCAGUGGGGAAUAUUGCACAAUGGGCGAAAGCCUGAUGCAGCGACGCCGCGUGAGGGAUGACGGCCUUCGGGUUGUAAACCUCUUUCAGCAGGGAAGAAGCGAAAGUGACGGUACCUGCAGAAGAAGCGCCGGCUAACUACGUGCCAGCAGCCGCGGUAAUACGUAGGGCGCAAGCGUUGUCCGGAAUUAUUGGGCGUAAAGAGCUCGUAGGCGGCUUGUCGCGUCGGAUGUGAAAGCCCGGGGCUUAACCCCGGGUCUGCAUUCGAUACGGGCAGGCUAGAGUGUGGUAGGGGAGAUCGGAAUUCCUGGUGUAGCGGUGAAAUGCGCAGAUAUCAGGAGGAACACCGGUGGCGAAGGCGGAUCUCUGGGCCAUUACUGACGCUGAGGAGCGAAAGCGUGGGGAGCGAACAGGAUUAGAUACCCUGGUAGUCCACGCCGUAAACGUUGGGAACUAGGUGUUGGCGACAUUCCACGUCGUCGGUGCCGCAGCUAACGCAUUAA
rnacentral:rRNA from 1 species